rnacentral:rRNA from 1 species
UACAGAGGUCUCAACCGUUGUUCGGACUCAUUGGGCGUAAAGGGUGCGUAGGCGGUCGGGUAAGUCGGAUGUGAAAUCUCAGGGCUCAACCCUGAAACUGCAUUCGAUACUGCCUGGCUAGGGUACUGGAGAGGAGACUGGAAUUUACGGUGUAGCAGUGAAAUGCGUAGAUAUCGUAAGGAAGACCAGUGGCGAAGGCGAGUCUCUGGACAGUUACCGACGCUGAGGCACGAAGGUCAGGGGAGCAAACGGG